CGCUUUGGCGAUUUAGCUGUAUGAUUGUUUUAAUAUUUCAUAAAGCUAGAUUACCAAAGCA
rfam:Clunio marinus genome assembly, contig: CLTMA_superscaffold_41A